GGAGGAAAGCAGGGGAUCGCAAGACCUUGCGCUCAUUGAGCGGCCGAUGCCUGAUUAGCUAGUUGGUGAGGUAAAGGCUUACCAAGGCGACGAUCAGUAGCUGGUCUGAGAGGACGACCAGCCACACUGGGACUGAGACACGGCCCAGACUCCUACGGGAGGCAGCAGUGGGGAAUUUUGGACAAUGGGGGAAACCCUGAUCCAGCCAUGCCGCGUGAGUGAAGAAGGCCUUCGGGUUGUAAAGCUCUUUCAGCCGGAACGAAACGGUCACGGCUAAUACCUGUGUCUACUGACGGUACCGGAAGAAGAAGCACCGGCUAACUACGUGCCAGCAGCCGCGGUAAUACGUAGGGUGCGAGCGUUAAUCGGAAUUACUGGGCGUAAAGCGUGCGCAGGCGGUUUUGUAAGUCAGAUGUGAGAAUCCCCGGGCUUAACCUGGGAACUGCGUUUGAAAUACAGGGCUAGAAGGGC
rnacentral:rRNA from 1 species